rnacentral:rRNA from 1 species
UACGUAGGAAGCGAGCGUUAUCCGGAUUUAUUGGGUUUAAAGGGUGCGUAGGCGGAUCGUUAAGUCAGUGGUCAAAUUGAGGGGCUCAACCCCUUCCCGCCAUUGAAACUGGCGAUCUUGAGUGGAAGAGAAGUAUGCGGAAUGCGUGGUGUAGCGGUGAAAUGCAUAGAUAUCUCGCAGAACCCCGAUUGCGAAGGCAGCAUGCCGGCUUCCUACUGACGCUGAAGCACGAAAGCGUGGGGAUCGAACAGG